AAAUUGCUCAGGAUUCCAAGGAAUCUAUGGAGGAGGCUCAGCAGCAGCUGGAUGGCAGAGGCCCGGCUGCUACAGGAAGGUGAAAUAAGACAGAAGAAAAGGGUUAGAACUUUAGAACUCCAGGACCCAACCUCAGUCCUUUCAAGCACCGUCUGCAAACAGAUGCUGUGCUAGACUCAGCACCCUGUCUGGUGAAACUGCUCCUUGGGGUGACAUCGGUCGAAUGUGUGAGAGGCUUCAGCGGAUGCCCUGACUUUUACACCAUGGAAGGGCUUUCUCCUCACUCUCCAUUCUUCAUCCCACUCCAUCCAUGCGCUUUCUCCCCUCCCCAUGGGGUGGGGUGGGGGAGUCUUUCCUCCAGCUGAGAGCAGAGGCCUUGGCCAACUAGAUGUGUCUUCUGGGAUUUCACAGUCGGGCCACCUCUCACCUCUUGCACAGGCUGGUGGGUUAAAUGAAACUCCUGUAGCAACUCACAGAGCAUUUGAUUUAAAGCUAAGAUUUAUAGGAACUCACAAGUCAGAAUGGAACAAUAAUUUCCCUCCGGUUGCACUGCCACUACUGAGGAGCAAUCGCCUAAUUCCACACAGAGUUUGCUGAUUCUGUGGGCCUAACAGAGAACUCCAGAUGGGCAACUAGGAGCUAAGAAGUGCAUCCUAUGUCACCAGGAGCUAAUUUUCCCUGGAUUUUCAAAGAGGCCUCAUAUUUGACCCAUGUCAUGGCAGGGUGAAAUAUAAGUCCUUCCUGAACCCUUGGAAGCUGAACGUUGUGGACAUCAGCCAUGGGAAAUACAUUUCCUUUAAACUGAUCACCAGGCCUUAGUAUGAUCCAUGCCUUGAGUGGACAGAGACCUUUCAUGUUUGGUCAUUACUCAGCCAGACACUUCUCUGAGAGGUGAUGACUUCCCUAGGAAGGAAUAACAAAGCCCCUUUCAGGCUGUUGAUGGGCCCUGUCCACUUUAAUUUUGCAUUCAGCCUCGCUCAUUUCUGUGAGCUGAGAUUUUGAUUAUUCUGAUUUCCACGACUCCUUUUGUGAAACAGAGACACUGAGGUGAAUGCACGGGCCCAGUCCCCUCCUUUUUGAGUGUGCCCUCGGAAGCAGAGGCAGGUGGUGUUGCCGAAACACCCAGGUUCUGUCUAGGUCCUGCCGCUCCCUGCACAGAAAGCCAAUCACAGAGAUGACAAGUAUUGCCAAGGAAGAAGGCUUUAAUCAGGUGCUGUAGCUGAGAAGAUGGGAGCCCAGUCUCAAAUCCAUCUCCCCAUCCACCUAAAACUAGGGGUUUAUACACCAGGGAAGAAAGAUAACAGUGUGUAAGAAAACAGGAACUACGGAGGGGCAAGGAAGCAGUCACAAUGUAGGGUAUCUCAUUGUCUGGAUGUGUUGAUCUGGUGAGUUUCCCUUCUUUGAUGAUACUUUUUUUUUGAGAGGCGGUGGCUCAUGCCUGUAAUCCCAGCACUUUGGGAGGCUGAGGCGGGUGGAUCAUUUGAGGUCAGGAGUUCGAGACCAGCCUGGCCAACAUGGUGAAACCCCGUCUCUACUAAAAAUACAAAAAAAAUGAGCCAGGUGUGGUGGCGGGCACCUGUAGUCCCAGCAAUUCGGGAGGCUGAGGCACGAGAAUUGCUUGAACCCAGGAGGCAGAGGCUGCAGUGAGCCGAGAUUGCACCACUGCACUUCAGCCUGGCGACAGAGGGAGACCCUGACUCCAAAAAAAAAAAAAAAGGUAAGGUUCAGCCAGGUGUGUUGGCUGACGCCUGUAAUCCCAGCACUUUGGGAGGCCAGGUGGGUGGAUCACGAGGAUCACAAGGUCAAGAGAUGGAGAACAUCCUGGCAAACAUGGUGAAACCCCAUCUCUACUAAAAAUACAAAAAAUUAGCCGGGUGUGGUGGCAGGCACCUAUAGUCCCAGCUACUCGGGAGGCUGAGGCAGGAGAAUAUCACUUGAACCCGGGAGGUGGAGGUUGGAGUGAGCCAAGAGUGUGCCACUGCACUCCAGCCUGGAGACACAGUGAGACUCCAUCUCAAAAAAAAAAAAAAAAAAAAAAAAAAGGAAGGUUCAAACUUUAGAACCAGAAGGGUCAAUUUCUACGUUUAUCCAAAAAACUAUUUAUGGGACUAUUGGGUCAAUUUCAGUGGGAGGCCCCAGGGCCAUGCCCCAGAGGAAGAGACUGGCGUUUAGGGAAUGAAAGCACAGGGAAGUGAGGAACGUGGAGUAUUGCAGAGCCAAGCUGAGGGGCUAUGGCAAGAGAGGCGAAGAAGAAAGACAAAGCAGCAAGCCAGCAGGCAGAGGGAGGCACAGUGAGGCAAAAGCUGGUUCUGGAGCCACCAUGUAAGCAAAUUCAGCUCCUUUUACACCUGGCUCAGGCCACUUCAUGGAGCUAAGGUGGGGCCGGGUGCCCCAUCUUCAUCAUCCUGUACUCCUAGAUUCAUUGCAAAUAGUUUGUUCUGAGUUUUAGGGCCUUCUGGGAUGAAUGAGGGGGGUGGUACCCCAUUCUUUGCCCACCAUAAGCAGCAGAGAAGGCCUCCUCAAAAACCCUGGGGGCUUAGGUAAAACCCCUCUCCUGUACAGAGCACACUGUGAGUGUUCAAUAACCAGUCAUGGUUAGAUUAUCCAAAAGAUUAUCCAAAAGCCCAUGCAGGAGGAGAGGGUAUGAAAAGGGCAUGGGAAAUAUUACAGAGAAGUGAGGGGGCACAUUUAAAGAAAAAAGAAAAGGAGACAAGAAUGGGGCUUAGGUAGGUCUGACACUUGGUGGGGGCCAUUAGCCAGAGGACCCAGUGCUGGAGAGCUAUCCCUGGUUUGUGAGGAGUUACUGGUUAGAUAACCUCCCUAGAUUGGACUAUCCAGAAGGAUCAGCAUGGUACACGUAUGUUUUUUGUAAGAUAUUGUAAGACAUCAUUUGUUAGAUGUCAGAUCAAAAAGUAGUUUGUACCAAGUCAGGGCUCCCAACCUUCUCAAGUGUGAUGGCCAUCUUAUUUCUUGCCUGUUAACUCUUUUUAAUAGUGAAAUAUGACAAACAGAGGAAAGUGCAUUAAAACCUGAGUGUUGACUGCUGGUUCCCCCAAGAUGGAGAGUCCCAUUCCUCCCAGACACUCCCUCUUACAGGUAAAAUAUCUGGACAUAACACAACAGACAGCAGAAGAAGACUCUGAAAGCUGGAGGAAGGAAGAAAAAAAGCCUAGGGACCUCAGACCUUGAAGAAUGACAGUGGAUUUCUCAUCUUGAAACCAUGGAGGCCAAAAGGAAGAGGCACAACAUUUUUCAAGUUGAAGAUAGAACUUAGAAUCACAAAUCCAAUAGCCACUGAAAACGCCCUUCAGGAAUGAAGGAGAAAUCAGACAUUCUCAGAUGAAAGAAAACUUAAGAGAACUUAUUGCCAACCUAGAAGAAAUGUGCUAAUGUCAAGAAAGCUACAAACUACCAAACUCAACGAGGAUGAUAGAGACAACCUGAAUAGUUCCAUAGCUGCUACAGAAAUUAAAGUUAUAAGCAAACGGCUCACAAAAAAGAAAUCUUCAGAUGAAAAUACUUUAAGGAGUAUUAAUACCAAUUUUACACACUCUAUCUCAGAAAGUAAAAGAAAGAACGUUUCCUGGCUCAUUGUAUAAGGCUAGUAUUACCCUGAUACCAAAAUCAGGAAAAUGCAGUACAGAAAAGAAAGUUAUAGACCACUAUCUCUAUAAAUUUAGACACAAAAUUUAUCAACAAAAUUUUGUAAACCUAAUACAGCAUCGUAUAUAAAAAAUUAUAUACACCAUGAUGAAGUGGGAUUUAUUCCAUAUAUGCAAGUUUGGUUCAAUAUUCCAGAAUCAGUCAAUGUAAUUUACUCUGUUAACCAGGUAAAGAAUAAAAAUGAUUAUAUCAUUUGAUGCAGAAAAAAAGAUUAACACAAUCCUAUGCCCAUUCACGGUAAAAAGUCUCAGCAGACUAGGAAUGGCGGGGAGUGGUGGGGACAAUCCUAAGUUGAGAAAGAGCAUCUAUUUAAAAACCUAGGCUGGGCACAGUAGCUCAUGCCUGUAGUCCCAACACUUUGAGAGGCUGAGAUGGGCGGAUUGCUUGAGCCCAGAAGUUCAAAACUAGCCUGGGCAACAUGGCAAAACCCCGUCUCUUCAAAAAAUACAAAAAUCAGGCUGGGCAAGGUGGCUCACACUUGUAAUCCCAACACUUUGGGAGGUGGAGGUGGGCAGAUCACUUGAGGUCAGGAGUUUCAGACCAGCCUGGCCAACAUGGUGAGACCUCGUCUCUAACAAACAAUACAAAAAUUAGCUGGGCAUGGUGGUG
rnacentral:lncRNA from 1 species